rnacentral:rRNA from 1 species
GACGAACGCUGGCGGCGUGCCUAACACAUGCAAGUCGAGCGGAGUCAGUAAGAGGAAGUUUUCGGAUGGAAUCUUAUUGAUUUAGCGGCGGACGGGUGAGUAACGCGUGAGCGACCAACCUUGCACAGGGGGAUAACGGACCGAAAGGUUCACUAAUACCGCAUGAGACCACGGUGUUGCAUGACACAGUGGUCCACGGAGCAAUCGGGUGCAAGACGGGCUCGCGUCCGAUUAGGUAGUUGGAGGGGUAACGGCCCACCAAGCCUAUGAUCGGUAGCCGACCUGAGAGGGUGAUCGGCCACAUUGGAACUGAGAUACGGUCCAAACUCCUACGGGAGGCAGCAGUGGGGAAUAUUGGGCAAUGGGGGAAACCCUGACCCAGCAACGCCGCGUGAAGGAAGAAGGUCUUCGGAUUGUAAACUUCUGUCCUUGGUGAAGAGAAGAAGACGGUAGCCAAGGAGGAAGCCCCGGCUAACUACGUGCCAGCCGCCGCGGUAA